AGUGAACGCUGGCGGUAGGCCUAACACAUGCAAGUCGAACGGCAGCACAGUAAGAGCUUGCUCUUACGGGUGGCGAGUGGCGGACGGGUGAGGAAUACAUCGGAGUCUACUUUUUCGUGGGGGAUAACGUAGGGAAACUUACGCUAAUACCGCAUACGACCUACGGGCGAAAGCAGGGGAUCUUCGGACCUUGCGCGAUUGAAUGAGCCGAUGUCGGAUUAGCUAGUUGGCGGGGUAAAGGCCCACCAAGGCGACGAUCCGUAGCUGGUCUGAGAGGAUGAUCAGCCACACUGGAACUGAGACACGGUCCAGACUCCUACGGGAGGCAGCAGUGGGGAAUAUUGGACAAUGGGCGCAAGCCUGAUCCAGCCAUACCGCGUGGGUGAAGAAGGCCUUCGGGUUGUAAAGCCCUUUUGUUGGGAAAGAAAAGCAGCAGGUUAAUACCCCGCUGUUCUGACGGUACCCAAAGAAUAAGCACCGGCUAACUUCGUG
rnacentral:rRNA from 1 species